rnacentral:rRNA from 1 species
UACGUAGGGUGCAAGCGUUGUCCGGAAUUAUUGGGCGUAAAGAGCUCGUAGGCGGUCUGUCGCGUCUGCUGUGAAAACUCAGGGCUUAACCCUGAGCUUGCAGUGGGUACGGGCAGACUAGAGUGCGGUAGGGGAGACUGGAAUUCCUGGUGUAGCGGUGAAAUGCGCAGAUAUCAGGAGGAACACCGGUGGGCCGAAAGGCGGGUCUC